GCCGGCGUAGCUCAGUUGGCAGAGCAGCCGCCUUGUAAGCGGCAGGUCGACGGUUCGAAUCCGUCCGCCGGCUCCA
rnacentral:tRNA from 1 species